AGAACGAACGCUGGCGGCAUGCCUAACACAUGCAAGUCGAACGAGACCUUCGGGUCUAGUGGCGCACGGGUGCGUAACGCGUGGGAAUCUGCCCUUGGGUUCGGAAUAACAGUUAGAAAUGACUGCUAAUACCGGAUGAUGACUUCGGUCCAAAGAUUUAUCGCCCAAGGAUGAGCCCGCGUAGGAUUAGGUAGUUGGUGGGGUAAUGGCUCACCAAGCCGACGAUCCUUAGCUGGUCUGAGAGGAUGAUCAGCCACACUGGGACUGAGACACGGCCCAGACUCCUACGGGAGGCAGCAGUGGGGAAUCUUGCGCAAUGGGCGAAAGCCUGACGCAGCAACGCCGCGUGCGGGAAGAAGGCUCUCGGGUUGUAAACCGCUUUCAGAAGGAACGAAACUGACGGUACUUUCAGAAGAAGGUGCGGCCAAUACGUGCCAGCAGCCGC
rnacentral:rRNA from 1 species